CUCCCCUACUCAUACCUGUCUUUGCCUCCUGCAAUCUGCCAUCUCAAUUCGAGCCUUUUGGCUGCCCCCACCUCAUGGUAAAGCUUUAUCUCACAUCCUGUCAUCAUGGAUAACUGCCGCUGGUUUCUGGUUUUAUUCCUGAUUUAUCUGACUAAAGUGGAGUCGAUUGCUUGGUGAAAACGGAACCAGAGGAGCCCGUUCCAGAGACUGAACUCUGCGGCCGCUGGAGAAGCGACGCAGAUGAUGAUUCCAUGACAGAUGGUUAACAUUUCAUCAGAAAGCCGAUGGGCUUCCUGUCCCUCAGCUCCACACUAUGAAACAUC